rnacentral:misc_RNA from 1 species
CGCUGGAUACAAUCAAACAAAAUUCAGAUUUUACACAUAUCAUCAGCUCAAUGCUAAUAAGAUGAACCAUCAGGAAAAGAACAGUACUUCAGAUUACAUGCCCAAUGGCACAUGAUGCUGCAUAAUCUACAAAUACUGCAAACUUGUAAUCAUAUGCAUAUAGAGGUAAGAGUGGAUCUGUGGGUGAUAUUCGUAUAUGCCAGCUCUGAGUUGGAAUAAUAUGAACAAAAUAUGGUGAAUCCGCUCAUCUUGUACAUGUUCAGCAAGGCUACUUACUGUUCUUCAGGGUCUUGUUUUCUCCACAAUGAUCUAUUUGUUUGGGCACCACUUUCAUAACCACUGCUGUCCCCUGAUUCAGUCACACGCUUUUCUGUUUUCUCAACAUCACGGUGAGUUCGCCCAUGUUCCCUUCCAGUUCUGCGGUCAUCUCGGAAGGGGAACUCAUCAGCUUCAAGCAUAUGUAUCACAUGCCCCAUCUUUGGCCUCUGUUGUGCAUUUGGGUCCACACAGCGUAAAGCUACUAAAAGGGCACGCUUCAGUGCCCUUGAAGAAGGCUUUUCUAGCAACCUGGGAUCCAAAACUCCCUCUGCAUUCCGAUUUGUAACCAUUGUUUUAAGCCAUUCAACUAAAUUCACCUCUCCUGGAGGGCGGCUGUAGUCAACUGGGUUUCUUCCAGAAAUGAUUUCCAUAAGAAGAAUCCCAAAGCUGUAUACAUCACUUCUUUCAUUCAACAUGCCUGUACUGGCAUAUUCUGGAGCCACAUAUCCAAAUGUCCCCAUUACACGAGUGGUCACAUAACUCCGCUCUGAGCCUAAGAGUUUUGCGAGGCCAAAAUCAGAUACUUUAGCAUUCCACUGCCUAUCCAGUAAAAUGUUGCUGGAUUUUAUAUCACGAUGAACAACCUUGGGUUCAAGCCCUUCAUGCAGGUAUGUCAGCCCUUUUGCUGUUCCAAGUAUUAUAUUCAUGCGAAUCUCCCAUGUGAGAGGGCUGCAAGGCCCAACAUCUCCAUGAAGCCACUGUUCUAAGUUUCCAUUGUCAACAUACUCGUAAACAAGCAUCCUAUGAGCUCCUUCAGCACAAUAACCAAGCAACCUCACCAAAUUCUUGUGCCGAACCCGUCCAAUUGCUUCUACUUCGACCUUGAACUCCUUCUCAGCUUGUCCCCUGUUGUUAAGCAAAUUCUUGACAGCAACUUUAGUAUUAUCCUCCAUAACACCACGGUAAACGAUCCCAUACCCACCUUCGCCAAUCACGUUCUCAUCAGCAAAACCAUUAGUAGAGACCUCAAGCUCCCUGAGAGUGUACCAGUGGCCCCAACCCAAAUGUGAAACUUCUGGCACAGCUAUCGCCGCACAGGCCUGAUCACCGGAACGAGGACCGGACCGGGUCUCUCCGCUUCCAUUACCAGAUGCACCAGCCCGUUCCGGAUACGAUAUCCUAUGAUCCUUCCCAAUCUCAAUGUGAAUUCUGUUCCUCCCGCCGACAG